UACGUAGGGGGCAAGCGUUGUCCGGAUUUAUUGGGCGUAAAGCGCACGCAGGCGGUCUCUUAAGUUUUGAGUGACAGGUAGUGGCUCAACCACAACAGGCCUCAGAAGACUGGGAGACUUGAGGACGAGAGAGGGAUGCGGAAUUCCAGGUGGAGCGGUGAAAUGCGUAGAUAUCUGGAGGAACACCGGUGGCGAAGGCGGCAUCCUGGACCAACACUGACACUGAGGAGCGAAAGCCAGGGGAGCAAACGGG
rnacentral:rRNA from 1 species